GCGCCCGUAGCUCAGCUGGAUAGAGCGCUGCCCUCCGAAGGCAGAGGUCACAGGUUCGAAUCCUGUCGGGCGCGCCA
rnacentral:tRNA from 2 species